AUACGGAGGGUGCAAGCGUUAAUCGGAAUUACUGGGUGUAAAGGGUGUGUAGGCGGGGCUGUAAGUCAGAGGUGAAAUCCUACGGCUCAACCGUAGAACUGCCUUUGAUACUGCGGCUCUUGAGUCUCGGAGAGGUCGCUGGAAUUCGUGGUGUAGCGGUGAAAUGCGUAGAUAUCACGAGGAACACCAGAUGCGUAGGCGGGUGACUGGACGAGUACUGACGCUGAGGCACGAAAGCGUGGGGAGCAAACAGGAUUAGAAACCCCAGUAGUCC
rnacentral:rRNA from 1 species